rnacentral:lncRNA from 1 species
ACCUCAGGAAAACAUGAAGUCACUUGAGGGAAGGUACAGAUGGUUACUAUCACAGGAACAUUUGACAUCUUGCCUUUAGUUGAAUAAACCGGACACAAACCCAUAAUUGAGGAAGCAGAGUACAUUAGGAAGGACAAACAGAAGAGAUCCAGCAUAUAACACCAUGGGAAGAGAAAGAUGUUAUAAAGCUGAAAAUGUUGCAAGCCUUGUAAAACUGGGAAAUAUUCAAUGCUUCUUUUUGAACUCCUUUUACAUUCAACUCCAUCCUUACUCUGGUUUCUUAUGGCCCAUCGUUACAAGAUGCUCCAAUAGACAAGCCCUAUC